GUGCUCGCUUUGGCAGCACAUAUACUAAAAUUGGAAUGAUCCAGAGAUAACUAGCAUGGAUUCUGUGCGAGGAUGAUGCACUAAUUUGUGAAGCAUUCUAUAUUAAA
ensembl:snRNA U6 U6 spliceosomal RNA